AGAUAUGGUGGUAUGACCAGCAGGCAUGCCAACAUGAGUUCAAAUCAUGUCAAAGGGUCUUGGUCUCCUGUUCUCCUCAUCCAUAAAGCUGCUGGUCCAUGUGGCAGUGAUCUUUUAAAGUUCUUAGGAGGAUGGCCCUUCGACUUAUGAGAUCCUGCAUCCAGAGAAGGGGAAACAGAAGCAGACAUAUCAUGUGAACCUCUUGAAAUCCUGUGAGGAAAGAAGCAGCCCUACUUCCAUCACCUCAAUACUGGCAAGCCCAGUGAUUGAGGAUGAUAACUCUGAAGGUGUAGUGGAGGCCUGUAAACAACCUGCCAAUAAAGAUCUCUCUCACCUGGAUGGUAAGAAGCCAGUUGAAUUACAAGUUAUUUUUAAAACCUUUCCUCAGUUGUUGACACUAGAAACCAGGCCAUACACAUACAGAGCAUGUCAUCUGAGUCAAACCAGGUCAGAGUCCAGUAUGACAGGCAUGAUUCCGACUUCCAGAACAUUUAGUGAAGGCGGUGAAGGGACAAAUCCGCUUGAUAUUGGAGCUAGGACAGAUAGAACCGUCUGAAACCUACAGAACUCAACCUACAGAAAUGUGAGUGGGCCAAGCAGGAAACUUGUUACAUGGGGCAGUUGGGGAGAUGUGAAGUCCGGCCUCAGGUAAACAAAGUUGACGCCAUCCUGAACAGCCCCAAGCCCCGUACCAAGACCCAGAUCCGGUCAGAUCAUUCUUCAGUUUGGGGCACAUUAUUCUUCCUGGGGCAGGUAGAUGCAUCGGGUGGGGACUCGGCCAGGGUGACAAGGUGUUACCUGGAACUUCAAUCCUUUCAAGUUCUGUGAGCGGCGCAAAGCAGUGAAGGAAAACAUCACAGCGGACUACCUGUCAAGAAUGCCAAACAGUGACGCUGCAAUAGUGGAUGGUGGAAUUGUGACAAAGACUAACGGAUUGCGGAUGACACAUGGUAAACACAUUCAGUAAUAUACUCAUAAAGGGGCACCCAGACACACAUUGUUCCCCUGUGUCACUGCGGUGAGUGCACGUAGCACAAUAAAUCUACAAUUACAACUUUACACAUGUCCACUGCAGUAAUAUAGUUUGUUGAGAAAGGAAAACCAUACUAUGUACACUGUUUAGAUAAGUCGGAUCAGUUCAUUCAUACUCAUCUCACAAGAAAAUGUUUUGUCGAAGUGUUGUCAUAAUCUGACGUUCCUCUCCUCCGCAGUCCCUGGGUCUGAAACAGAUCCGAUGCAUAGUGUUGUUUUAAUUAGAGGCUACAGCAGUCACGUGCAGGUGUGCUGAUGGCUGAAGAUACCAUGUUUAACUGGAUCAAAGGUUAAGUUACCUUAUUUAUGAUAUUGUGUCAAGGUUUUGCGGUUCAUUUAAGGUUUUUGACUGGGAAAUGGUUAUUCCUAUAAUGUGUUGUGUUUGUUUAAUGUAAGAAUACACACACAAUAUAAUACUUUUUCUUAAAAAAUUACGACUCCUAAGAGAAUACAGAUAUGUGGGAUAUGUUUUUAAUAUGAAGAAAGUUUUGAACAUGAGCAGAAAUCUUUCCUGAAAUUCAUAUGAGCUAUUGAAGUCCAUAUGUCAGUGUUAAAAAAAACUGUUAUUGCAGGAUAAAAAUUAAUUUAACUUGAA